UACGAAGGGGGCUAGCGUUGCUCGGAAUUACUGGGCGUAAAGGGCGCGUAGGCGGCACUGUUAGUCAGGCGUGAAAUCCCUCGGCUUAACCGAGGAACUGCCUGUCAGACUGGAUUGCUUGAGGCCGGGAGAGGCGAGUGGAAUUCCCAGUGUAGCGGUGAAAUGCGUAGAUAUUGGGAGGAACACCAGUGGCGAAGGCGGCUCGCUGGACCGGUUCUGACGCUGAGGCGCGAAAGCGUGGGGAGCAAACAGG
rnacentral:rRNA from 1 species